CCUGUUUUAGAGGUCUCAGAAUGGCAGAAUGGGAGGGGCUGAUUGUGAUGUCUUUCCUCCCGAGUGUUGCUCUCAUGGGUGCCCAGUUGGAGGGUAGCUCUGCAGAGGCCACCGGCACCAUGGGAAAGGCUAGCAGAAUCGUCCUUUUGACAUGAAGACCGUGGUAUACAUGGGAUGGAAAAAGAGCCGCAGAGAUACCCCGCCUGCCCAGCCAGGGCCUGGAGCUCAGCAUCUUCCAGGAGUUCAGUCUCACCCCCGUGGAAGUCAUCUUGGACGGCCUGUCUCACAACGGAAACACGGUUCUAGGAGGAAGUGGGAAACUGUGACACUCGCUCCCUCUCCCACUCAAGAUGGGAGCCUGCUUCCGUGUGGACAGUCUGCGCCAUCUCCCUCCCGCAUAGGCAGGGGGAACAGCAGCAGUGCCGGAGCACCCCUAAAACAGCAGCUCCUGUCCACAGCUCUUCAGUGAUGCUAAGCUCUGCAUGCGUCCUCUCGCUCCUCCUCCUCCUAACCCUGUACAGACCCAGAGAGACUCAGAGAGGCAUAGUCAUUUACCUGGAGUCACAGAGCACAGACUGCGAUCCACACUCAGACCCAAUUCAGCUGAAGCUUCUAGUGUCUACACUGUGAUCCUUUCUUCGGUUACUAAGGACUUCUUGUUGGGAGGUUCUAUAGGAAGGGACGGGAGCCUCGGGGAGAGGAAAACUGGAUGAAUUCUAAUUCUGGAUUCACAAGUGACUCGCACCAGCGGACCACACACACUCCAUUCUUACCUGGUUGUUGUUUAAUGCAACAGUUAUUAUCAUUAUUUUUGUCACUGGUUAUUUUCCAUCUGUCCUAAGCAUCCACCAUCACUCCACACUAAGUCGGGGGUCUUGACAGCCCUGGUCUUUCCGAUCUCUGACAUCAUAUUCAGAGCUGUCUUCCUCAGGCACCUGCUUCCUUUGUUCA